rnacentral:rRNA from 1 species
AUACGGAGGGUGCAAGCGUUGUUCGGAAUUAUUGGGCGUAAAGCGCGCGCAGGCGGCUUGCCAAGUCUGAUGUGAAAGCCCGGGGCUCAACCUCGGAACUGCAUUGGAAACUGGUAGGCUUGAGUAUGAGAGGGGUUUGUGGAAUUCCUGGUGUAGGGGUGAAAUCCGUAGAUAUCAGGAGGAACACCGGUGGCGAAGGCGACAAACUGGAUCAUUACUGACGCUGAGGUGCGAAAGCGUGGGGAGCAAACAGGAUUAGAAACCCGUGUAGUCC